rnacentral:rRNA from 1 species
UACGAAGGGGGCUAGCGUUGCUCGGAAUCACUGGGCGUAAAGCGCACGUAGGCGGCUUUCUAAGUCAGGGGUGAAAUCCUGGAGCCCAGCUCCAGAACUGCCUUUGAUACUGGAGAGCUUGAGUCCGGAAGAGGUGAGUGGAACUCCGAGUGUAGAGGUGAAAUUCGUAGAUAUUCGGAAGAACACCAGUGGCGAAGGCGGCUCACUGGUCCGGUACUGACGCUGAGGUGCGAAAGCGUGGGGAGCAAACAGG